UACGUAUGGUGCAAGCGUUAUCCGGAUUUACUGGGUGUAAAGGGAGCGUAGGCGGCGCGUUAAGUCUGAUGUGAAAACCCGAGGCUCAACCACGGGAGUGCAUUGGAAACUGGCGGGCUGGAGUGCCGGAGAGGUAAGCGGAAUUCCUAGUGUAGCGGUGAAAUGCGUAGAUAUUAGGAGGAACACCAGUGGCGAAGGCGGCUUACUGGACGGCAACUGACGCUGAGGCUCGAAAGCGUGGGGAGCAAACA
rnacentral:rRNA from 1 species